rnacentral:rRNA from 1 species
GAUGAACGCUAGCUACAGGCUUAACACAUGCAAGUCGAGGGGAAACGACAUCGAAAGCUUGCUUUUGAUGGGCGUCGACCGGCGCACGGGUGAGUAACGCGUAUCCAACCUGCCCACCACUUGGGGAUAACCUUGAGAAAGUAAGACUAAUACCCAAUGAUAUCUCUAGAAGACAUCUGAAAGAGAUUAAAGAUUUAUCGGUGAUGGAUGGGGAUGCGUCUGAUUAGCUUGUUGGAGGGGUAACGGCCCACCAAGGCUACGAUCAGUAGGGGUUCUGGGAUGAAUGUCCCCCACAUAGUAACUGAGACACGGUCCAAACUCCUACGGGAGGCAGCAUUGAGGAAUAUUGGUCAAUGGACGGGAAUCUGAACCAGCCAAGUAGGGUGCAGGAUGACGGCCCUAUGGGUUGUAAACUGCUUUUAUAAGGGAAUAAAGUGAGUCUCGUGAGACUUUUUGCAUGUACCUUAUGAAUAAGGACCGGCUAAUUCCGUGCCAGCCGCCGCUGUAA